rnacentral:rRNA from 1 species
ACCUACGGGGCGCAGCAGUAGGGAAUCUUCCACAAUGGGCGAAAGCCUGAUGGAGCAACGCCGCGUGGGUGAAGAAGGUCUUCGGAUCGUAAAACCCUGUUGUUAGAGAAGAAAGUGCGUGAGAGUAACUGUUCGCGUUUCGACGGUAUCUAACCAGAAAGCCACGGCUAACUACGUGCCAGCAGCCGCGGUAAUACGUAGGUGGCAAGCGUUAUCCGGAUUUAUUGGGCGUAAAGGGAGCGCAGGCGGUCUUUUAAGUCUGAUGUGAAAGCCUUCGGCUUAACCGGAGUAGUGCAUUGGAAACU